GGCUAGGAUAAUCCAUGUGAUAGAUUUGAAAGGUUGAAAUAUAAUGUAGUUGACUAUUUUAGGAUUGAUAGUUAAACCCUAGGUCUUCUUGAGCAUCAAAAUUAAAGGAAUGAAUUAUAUGGUAACCAUAUGUCAGUAGGUUCUUAAAUGUUGCUUUGCAAUCAUUCGACCUAUUCGGACUCAGGUCCCAUUACUAGAUGGUUACAUCAAUUAGUUUAGAAAUUUUUUUCUAUGCUACUGACUUAGGUUCAAAUCUAUGGGGUCACACUC
rnacentral:lncRNA from 1 species